rnacentral:rRNA from 1 species
GAUGAACGCUAGCUACAGGCUUAACACAUGCAAGUCGAGGGACCGGCGCACGGGUGAGUAACACGUAUCCAACCUGCCCUUUACUCGGGGAUAGCCUUUCGAAAGAAAGAUUCAUACCCGAUAUAAAGGCUGGGGAUGCGUUCCUUUAGGGUGUUGGUGAGGUAACGGCUCACCAAGCCUUCGAUGGAUAGGGGUUCUGAGAGGAAGGUCCACCAAAUUGGAACUGAGACACGGUCGAAACGCCGACGGGAGGCAGCAGUGAGGAAUAUUGGUCAAUGGGGGCUAGCCUGAACCAGCCAAGUAGCGUGAAGGAGGAAGGCUUAUGGGUGGUAAACCUCUUUUAUAUAAGAAUAGGUAGUAUAUGAAUAAGGAUCGGCUAACUCCGUGCCAGCAGCCGCGGUAAUAC